GGACCUAGCGGCGGACGGGUGAGUAAUGCUUAGGAAUCUGCCUAUUAGUGGGGGACAACAUCUCGAAAGGGAUGCUAAUACCGCAUACGUCCUACGGGAGAAAGCAGGGGAUCUUCGGACCUUGCGCUAAUAGAUGAGCCUAAGUCGGAUUAGCUAGUUGGUGGGGUAAAGGCCUACCAAGGCGACGAUCUGUAGCGGGUCUGAGAGGAUGAUCCGCCACACUGGGACUGAGACACGGCCCAGACUCCUACGGGAGGCAGCAGUGGGGAAUAUUGGACAAUGGGGGGAACCCUGAUCCAGCCAUGCCGCGUGUGUGAAGAAGGCCUUAUGGUUGUAAAGCACUUUAAGCGAGGAGGAGGCUACUUUAGUUAAUACCUAGAGAUAGUGGACGUUACUCGCAGAAUAAGCACCGGCUAACUCUGUGCCAGCAGCCGCGGUAAUACAGAGGGUGCGAGCGUUAAUCGGAUUUACUGGGCGUAAAGCGUGCGUAGGCGGCUUAUUAAGUCGGAUGUGAAAUCCCCGAGCUUAACUUGGGAAUUGCAUUCGAUACUGGUGAGCUAGAGUAUGGGAGAGGAUGGUAGAAUUCCAGGUGUAGCGGUGAAAUGCGUAGAGAUCUGGAGGAAUACCGAUGGCGAAGGCAGCCAUCUGGCCUAAUACUGACGCUGAGGU
rnacentral:rRNA from 1 species